ACGUGUCUAAACAAAUAGAGAGAGUUUCUAAAGGAUGGCCCCCCUGUUUGAGGGCCGCGGCAUCAACUGCCCUGAUAGUACCAGAAGCAAAUAAGCUGACUCUUGGGCAAAACCUCAACAUAAAGGCUGCCCAUUUUGGGUUGGGUGACAGCCAGCCCCUCAUCCCCCCCUGGCUUAGGACCCCCAUCGCGGAUCCUAAGAACCUUAAGGACCCACCUGGAGGACUCUGGGUAUUAGGUGUCCAAGAAGAAAGCUCAAAUCUGCCGACGGCAGCUACCUUCCUUGGGAUUCACUAUCCGACAGGGGUCCAAACGCUGGGAACAGAAAGAAAGCAGGUCGUUUGCAAUCUACCGGAGCCUAAGGGCAGAAGGCAGGACCCCCAUCGCGGAUCCUAAGAUCCUUAGGACUCACCUGGAGGACUGUGGGUAUUAGGUGUCCAAGAAGAAAGCUCAAAUCUGCCGACGGCAGGUACCUUACUUGGGAUUUACUCUCCAACAGGGGUCCGACGCCACCCGGGAACAGAAA
rnacentral:lncRNA from 1 species